UCCUCCACAUGUCAGGUGUGUGCUGUCUCAUUUGAGCAGUCUCCUCCACAGAUAGUGAAGGAGAACACUGAGGUCCAGAUCACCUGCAGACAUGAUGAUAACGUCCGCUGAUGCUCUGGUAUCAGCAGAGAAACGACGGCCAGCCGCUGACCCUAAUUGGGUUUGAAAAUGGGAAAAGUACCCCAAGAUCGAGCGACAGGUGUGACGUUUCAGCAGUCUCAUCCCAGAAUAGUCAUCAACACAGCCAGGAUAGAAAUUGGAUGCAGCCAUAAUGAUGCCAACCUCUACGUGAUGCUCUGGUACCAGCAAACACAAAGCGGCCUGAUGAAUUUAAUCGGUGACAGCUACCUUAUCGGUGAACCCGACUAUGAGAAGAAGUUCAAGGAUCGGUUUGAGAUUACAAGAAAAGAUUUGACAACAGCAGCUCUGAUUAUUCCCAGUGUGACUCCAUCAGACUCAGCUGUGUAUUUCUGUGCUGCCAGUAACACAGUGAUGUGGUUUAAUAUCAGCCCCUCACUAAAACCCUCCUUUGUUUGUUUCCUCUGUGACAGCUGGUAG